AACCCAUAGUUCUAUGGCGGUGUUUUCUAUUGUGACUUGGCUCUUCGCCGACGCGGUAUGAUCUAAGUGAAGAUUUUCGCUUUUCGUAGUGGUUAUGUUACGUGAAGAUGAAAAUUCAGCACACAGUCUGUCAGCUGUAACCAAAGUGUACUAUACAUUAAGCCAUAAUCAGAGACAUGGAUGACAUCCAGGAGAGCUCAGAGCCCGGCAGUCCUCCGUACAGUCCCCGGAUGAAUAAUGCCUGUCUAUUAAAUGACAGUGACCUCCUGUUUGAAGAACGUGGACAUUCUCAUGAACUCGCCACUCUUGUUCCCGAGAACCCUAGCCUCCUGACUCACAGAAGAAAACGACAUUCACAAGAAAGAUGACGACAGGAAUGUGGGUAUG